UCUCCGUAGUUUAAUGUGGUUUAGAGCGUCAGACUGUAAAUCUGAAAAUCAUGGGUUUGACUUGACUCCCACCCGGGAGAU
rnacentral:tRNA from 1 species